rnacentral:lncRNA from 1 species
AGCCUGGGGAGCUGGAGAGGGAGAGAGGCCAUUAUGGCCAUCACAAUACCAUCAACAUGUCACAGUAGCCAGGUCCCUCUGCCAAGUACUCAUAUCUCUGCUUGGCUGAACACCAGCCUAGGCUAAGGUACAGUUAGAAAGAAUAGCAGUUUCAUUGGAAGGAACUGACAGAAAACAACCCUUCAUGUGAGCUUCACUGGGAGAAAGACUCUGGAUGACAGGCCUUCAUGAUUGGAAUUUGAAGUGGCAGAACAUUAGAUCCGAGCUGAGACUGUAGUCAAGGACAUAGCAGAAAGAAGAGGGAAGAGAAGCCAGGAGGAAAUCUGGACAGCUCUGACACGGAGGACGGAGUCCUGGUGUCAGCCGCCCCAAGCCGAGAACUCGAGUCUCAUGGUUAGUUGGUAGAGACAGUAAAGAGAAACUAUCAAAGCUGUCCAAGACGUGACUGAGCGACCCAACACGCUUCUCAGAUGGAACUUGGGAAAUGGUGUCUCAAGGGAUCCACACAGCCUGUGAGAACUGUAACUACACACCAUCACUUUGUUCUGUGAGCAGUCCAAGGACACUGAGGAUGCUGGCUUGAGGAAACCUGCCCGAGCCCUCAGGAAGCAAUAGCUGAAACGGCUAACCCACCAUCUCUCCGUUGCCAAAGGCUGCCUGCCCAGCACUUCCACAGCAGUCUAGCUGCUCCACAGUAGCAUUAAGAACCCAAAGUCUUCUCAAAACAGGCAAAGUAUGCUCCUGGACUUUAUGUACUUAAGAGAGAAUAUUUUAUUCAUAGGCCACCUCCCAGGGGCUAUGUCUCAGGCCAUUAUUGUUUUCCUUCAGGAAGCAAGGGGUUCCUCUGAGGUUUCAGGAAAUCUCAUUCUCUCCCUGGA